GACGAACGCUGGCGGCGUGCUUAACACAUGCAAGUCGAACGAUGAACCGGGUGCUUGCACUUGGGGAUUAGUGGCGAACGGGUGAGUAACACGUGAGUAACCUGCCCUGGACUCUGGGAUAACCCCGAGAAAUCGGAGCUAAUACCGGAUAGGACCUUUCCCCGCAUGGGGUUUGGUGGAAAGUUUUUCGGUCUGGGAUGGACUCGCGGCCUAUCAGCUUGUUGGUGAGGUAAUGGCUCACCAAGGCGUCGACGGGUAGCCGGCCUGAGAGGGUGACCGGACACAAUGGGACUGAGACACGGCCCAGACGCCUACGGGAGGCAGCGGUGGGGAAUAUUGCACAAUGGGCGCAAGCCUGAUGCAGCAACGCCGCGUGCGGGAUGACGGCCUUCGGGUUGUAAACCGCUUUUAGUAGGGAAGAAGGGCUUCGGCUUGACGGUACCUGCAGAAAAAGGACCGGCUAACUACGUGCCAGCCGCCGCCGUAACAC
rnacentral:rRNA from 1 species